rnacentral:rRNA from 1 species
UACGUAGGGGGCAAGCGUUGUCCGGAUUUAUUGGGCGUAAAGAGCUCGUAGGUGGUUCGGUAAGUCGGAUGUGAAAUCUCCAGGCUCAACCUGGAGGGGUCAUUCGAUACUGCCGUGACUAGAGGUCGGUAGGGGAGUGUGGAAUUCCAGGUGGAGUGGUGAAAUGCGUAGAUAUCUGGAGGAACACCAAAGGCGAAGGCAGUGUCCUGGGGAGCAUCUGACGCUCAGGUGCGAAAGCUAGGGGAGCGAACGGG